rnacentral:rRNA from 1 species
GAUGAACGCUGGCGGCGUGCCUAAUACAUGCAAGUCGAGCGAACAGAUAAGGAGCUUGCUCCUUUGACGUUAGCGGCGGACGGGUGAGUAACACGUGGGUAACCUACCUAUAAGACUGGGAUCAUUUCGGGAAACCGGAGCUAAUACCGGAUAACAUCUGGAACCGCAUGGUUCUAAAGUGAAAGAUGGUUUUGCUAUCACUUAUCGAUGGACCCGCGCCGUAUUAGCUAGUUGGUAAGGUAACGGCUUACCAAGGCGACGAUACGUAGCCGACCUGAGAGGGUGAUCGGCCACACUGGAACUGAGACACGGUCCAGACUCCUACGGGAGGCAGCAGUAGGGAAUCUUCCGCAAUGGGCGAAAGCCUGACGGAGCAACGCCGCGUGAGUGAUGAAGGGUUUCGGCUCGUAAAACUCUGUUAUUAGGGAAGAACAAAUGUGUAAGUAACUGUGCACGUCUUGACGGUACCUAAUCAGAAAGCCACGGCUAACUACGUG